ACUGUUUUGGCAGAUGAAUGUGAUGAGUUUAGAACUCAUAUAUGUAAUAAGUUUACAGAUAGUA
rnacentral:tRNA from 1 species